GGAGUACCAAAAGGUGCCAAAGGCAGUUUGAUAACACCUCUGCAGAACAAACAUGCACCCCAGCCCGCCGAAAACUUUGAUGAUCUAUCCAGGGAUGUCUUCACCAUGUUAUGCUACCUGGGACCUCACCUGUCUCAUGAUCCCAUCCUUUUUGCGAAGAUGGUGCGGCUGGGAAAGAGUUUCAUGAAAGAGUACCAAAGUGAAAGCAGGCAAGACAGCAGGGACAAAAUGGUGAGUUAUGAAAAGUAAAUUGUGGAAUUGGAGUUUAAAGUUUAUUAAACAUACAUGUGGUGUAUUUAGCAAUUUUGGGCUCCGAUUUCACCACUUUCUCAAUUUUAGAAAAAGAAAA